AGCGAACGCUGGCGGCAGGCCUAACACAUGCAAGUCGAACGGACCCUUCGGGGUUAGUGGCGGACGGGUGAGUAACACGUGGGAACGUGCCUUUAGGUUCGGAAUAGCUCCUGGAAACGGGUGGUAAUGCCGAAUGUGCCCUUCGGGGGAAAGAUUUAUCGCCUUUAGAGCGGCCCGCGUAUGAUUAGCUAGUUGGUGAGGUACUGGCUCACCAAUGCGACGAGCAGUAGCUGGUCUGAGGGGAUGACCAGCCACAUUGGGACUGAGAAACGGGCCAAACUCCUACGGGAGGCAGCAGUGGGGAAUCUUGCACAAUGGGCGAAGGCCUGACGCAGCCAUGCCGCGUGGAUGAUGAAGGUCUUAGGAUUGCAAGCUCCUUUCCCCUGUGAGGAUAAUGACUGUAGCCGGAGAAGAAGCCCCGGCUAACUUCGUGCCAGCCGCCGCCGUAA
rnacentral:rRNA from 1 species